rnacentral:rRNA from 1 species
UACAGAGGUCUCAAGCGUUGUUCGGAUUCACUGGGCAUAAAGGGCGCGUAGGCGGGUCGUUUGGUCCGUGGUGAAAGCCUCCCGCUUAACGGGAGAAGUGCCGCGGAGACGGGCGAUCUCGAGGGGGGUAGGGGCAUGUGGAACUUCCGGUGGAGCGGUGAAAUGCGCAGAUAUCAGGAGGAACACCGGUGGCGAAGGCGGGUCUCUGGGCCGAUACUGACGCUGAGGAGCGAAAGCGUGGGGAGCAAACAGG